GCCAGUAUGGCGGAAUUGGCAGACGCACUGGACUCAAAAUCCAGCGAGCUUAGCUCGUGCCGGUUCGACCCCGGCUACUGGUA
rnacentral:tRNA from 4 species